AAGCCCCAGACAACAUAGCUCCUAGGAUCAUUCAGGCACGCAAACCCCUCCACCACAAUAAGGUGGCAGUUCAAGGAGGGGCGUCGUUAAUCUGUUGAUCUAAAAUAAAGGGGAAGUGUUUACUAAUUAAAAUAAUUGUGCCCCUCUUCCUGGUAUUUGCUUUACAGGAUAAAAAAUAUCUGUCCUACCCAAUCUUGUUUUAGUUUUAAAUGUUCUGAAUCAGAUAAAUGUGUCUCUUGAAGUAUGGCAAUUGUAGUUUUCUGCUUUUUAAGAUAGGUUAGUAUCUUUCUCCUCUUAAUCACAUGUCCUAACACUUUAACAUUCCAUGUGACAAACCUGGCUGUAUUGUAUGUAGUCUAUAGAAUAACUAUAGUAUAGAAUAACCAAAAGUAAUAAAUACUGAACACUUAAGACUGUAUUAAAUCUGAAACAUGUGUAGAACCGACCAAGGAAGUUUUUGCAUUUCAAUACACAAAACAAAACAUACAGAACCCAAAAACCCCUCCCCCCGCCCUCCAGCCUCAUCCCCAAACGACGAGGCACAGCUAUAGAAAUGAAACUGUACCCGACUGGUACCGAGCAUAGGAUAAUAAUACCCCAUACCCAGUAUUGAUACAGAGUGGUGCCCAUAGGGGGUGCGGGCACUAAAGACCAGUUCCCUUCUCCAAAGUUCAACGUCCCAGGCAUGAGCAUUUAACUAACAGUGCGUGACCUCACCAAAAGCGAUUUUCUUGUAGUUAUUAUAAAAUAAAGAUGUCAGUAAGAUAAAGAAAUAAAGUCCUGAUAACAAAGUAACUGCAAAAUAAGUGAUCUUUGGGUUACUAAAAGUCAAUACAAUAAGAUACUCGAGUGUGCUUAUUACUUAUCCUCUAAAACCUUCAGAAACUCUGUGACGUCCGCUGGGGAGAAAAAAAGAUGCAUCUGUGUUCCGUGAAGAACAUCGUCGAACUCCAGACAUUUCCUCAGCACCUCAGCAGAUACAUACUGAAAGAAACGCAGCUGCGACCCUUCAUGGCUGAUGUUGCGUUUUUUCCGCACUGGUUGCAGUAUUAUCUCCUUAUCCGCAUAACGUAAGAAGCGAACCAGGACACUUCGUGGAGCGCAGUUUACUCCUGAGGCAGAGCCGAGAUAUCUAUGAGCUCUUUCGAUCUCAAAAUGUGGAUCGGCUGUGAGGUCUAGCCACUUCGGCAACAUCCUGGUAAGAAACUGAGCGAUAGGUUCAGCCUUCUCAGGGAGGCCGACGACUCUCAAGUUUUUGCGCUACAAUACUGUCUACCGUCAAUAUUGCCCAAACUGGUUCCCAGCGAGCGAAUUUCACGCGUUUCAAGUGGAAAAUCACGCGUUUCUUCGUUCUUCGACAUUAAUGUUGGUACAACACACUUCAAUCAUAAAAUGGAUUAACCAAAGAUAAAUAAAAAAGAAAAGGGAACCAGCACAGCGGCCAAUUAAGCGGCCAUCUUCCACGAGGUCCCACUAGCGCCCCGGUCCCUUUCUUUUUUAGGGCAUUCCAAAUUGUUGAUUUCUCCUUUGACAGCUCUUCAUAAUGUUUUACCCUAUUUUAACAACAAAGGGGAAACUCAGCUCUAGAGUAGAAAUUCAAAGCUAUUAUAAUGUAAUAUAAUGUUUAAACAAUCAGUCUAACAGGGCACACAAAUUGUCAGUGUCAAAGAGGUUUCAAUAUCUGAUUGCUUAAAAAAUGUUUUUAAAAAUGUUCAAACAAAAAUGUCAUGGUCUGCCAACAUAUCUAGAUGUAAAUAACAGGAAAUGAAAGCUGAAUAAUGAAUUGUGAUAAUCAUCUCAUUGUAGUGAAUUUCGUUUCUUGGUGGUGUAUAUAUUAUAUACAUCUAUAAUAUUUUAAUAUAGUUGCAGAAAUAUAUUACAGUUUUUCUCAAUUGCUAAAACACUAAACCAUAUUGUCUGAACCAAAUGCUCAGUUGCCUGAACCCAAUGAUUGAAUCAAUCACUCUUUUGGCAAAACCAUAAGCACUUUUCACCUGUUUAGACACAACUUGCCAACACAUUUUCAUUGUGAUGCAUCCUUGCUUCAUAAUGGUGAGCACAGGUGACAAAAGUCAAAGACAAUUAAAGCACAGGUGUCACCACUUGAACACAACAACUCAAAAUUGAUCACACUUGUGGCUAAUAAAGUGAGAGAACAUAUACAGCAAGCCAGUUCAGAUAGCACUACAAUGGAUAGAAGUCUGAGAGGAAAAGUUUGUGUGAGAGGUGGUCAGUGAAGACAAAGAACAGUAAUAUCUGAUGAAAUCAGAGCUACUGUGAUUGACCAUGUUCUUGUCCAUGGUAUGAGCAUGAGGGAGGCUGGACAAAGGGUGCAACCAGACAUCAGUAGAUUCACUGUGUCCACCAUAAUCCGAAGAUUUAGAGGUAAUUACCUUUUUUUGACAUUAUAGUACAGUAUGUAAAUGUCAACAGCAAUUACUGUAUGACAUACUAUAUACUGUACCACAGUAUACUGUAAGUAAAUAUAGGUUUCCGUACAUCACUGUACCAAUGUACUGUAGUAUUGUAAUGGAAGGUUGGUGUAACUGUUUGUAGGCCUAGUAUUCCAUGUAUAUUUUUGUAACUCCAUGUUCUCUUUUUGUAGAAUUGAAAGACUGCCACAUGGGGGUGGGAGGACAGGUAUGUUCUCCCCACACCAAGAGACCCUAAUUGUUGAUAUGGUCCGUGAGAACAAUGAUAUUAAACUGAGUGAAAUUCAGCAGAAGAUCAUUGAGGACCAUGUAAAUUUUGAGGGUAUAAACAGUGUCAGCCCCUCUACUGUUGAUCGUGUCCUCAAGCGCAACAGACUACGCAUGAAACAGCUAUACAGAGUGCCCUUUGAUCGCAACUCAGACAGAGUCAAAUAGCAAAGAUUCCAGUAUGUACAGAGGGUUCUUCAACUGGAUGCAAUGGAAAGACCCCAUGAAUACAUGUACAUGGAUGAAGCUGGGUUUAAUCUCACCAGAAGGAGAAGGAGAGGCUGUAAUGUGAUUGGCCAUCAGGCCAUUGUUGGAGUUACUUGGCAGCGUGGUGGCAAUGUCACAUUAUGUGCUGCCAUCAGCAAUCAUGGUGUUGUCCACCAUCAUGCCAACCUGUGGCCCUACAACACUCACCCGCUCCUCAUUUUCCUCAAUCGCAUGUGAGAUGCUCUGUUAGGGCAGCAGGAUGAGCAUCCCAUCUAUGUUGUUGUUUGGGACAAUGUGAGUUUUCACAGAGACCUCCAGGUUAGAGAGUGGUUCAAUAUUAACCAAGGUUUUAUCAAACUUUGCCUUCCACCGUACUCCCCUUUCCUAAACCCCAUUGAGGAAUUCUUCUCCUCAUGUCGGUGGAAGGUAUAUGAACGGCAACCUUACACCAGGGUACAUCUCCUGCAAGCCAUGGCACUUGCCUGUGGUGACAUAGUUAUGGAGGCAUGCCAAGCCUGGAUACGGUAUGCCAGGGUUUUUUUUCCCGUUGCCUGGCCAGACAAAAUGUGGCCUGUGAUGUGGAUGAAGUGCUAUGGCCUGACCCAGUACGGAGACAUGAUGCCGUGGCUGAGUAAUGCACUUAUUUGUGUAUUUUUGUACUUUAUUUUUACAUGGGCUUACUGUACACAAGUGGCAAACGCAUAAGGUUUCUGUUUGUUUUUACAAGUGCUACGUGUAAAUGCACAAGAUUUCUGUGUUGUCUGUUUGUACAAGUGCAGAAUCCACAGGUUUUUUUUUUGUUUUGCAACAUGCAUUUAGCAGUAAUAAUAAAAAUGUGAACAAUAAAAAUUUAUUUCUCCAG